rnacentral:rRNA from 1 species
CAGCCCUAAACGAUGCGCGUUAGGAGUAUCGGUGACCACGAGUCACCGAGGUGCCGAAGGGAAACCGUGAAACGUGCCGCCUGGGAAGUACGGUCGCAAGGCUGAAGCUUAAAGGAAUUGGCGGGGGAGCACCACAACGGGUGGAGCCUGCGGUUUAAUUGGACUCAACGCCGGGAAGCUUACCGGAUAAGACAGCGGAAUGAUUGCCGGGCUGAAGACCCUGCAUGACCAGCUGAGAGGAGGUGCAUGGCGUAGUCGUGU